UACAGAGGGUGCAAGCGUUGUUCGGAAUUAUUGGGCGUAAAGGGCGUGUAGGCUGCUUGGAAAGUCGGAUGUGAAAGCCCUGGGCUCAACCCAGGAAGUGCACUCGAAACUUCCGAGCUCGAGUUCUGGGGAGGAUAGCGGAAUUCUCGGUGUAGAGGUGAAAUUCGUAGAUAUCGAGAGGAACACCGGUGGCGAAGGCGGCUAUCUGGACAGAAACUGACGCUGAGACGCGAAAGCGUGGGGAGCAAACAGG
rnacentral:rRNA from 1 species